rnacentral:rRNA from 1 species
UACGUAGGGGGCAAGCGUUGUCCGGAUUCAUUGGGCGUAAAGAGCGCGCAGGCGGUCGUACAAGUCGCGUGUGAAAGCCCCCGGCUCAACUGGGGAGGGUCACGCGAUACUGUUCGACUCGAAGGCAGGAGAGGGAAGCGGAAUUCCCGGUGUAGUGGUGAAAUGCGUAGAUAUCGGGAGGAACACCAGUGGCGAAGGCGGCUUCCUGGCCUGUUCUUGACGCUGAGGCGCGAAAGCUAGGGUAGCAAACGGG